UACGUAGGGGGCAAGCGUUGUCCGGAAUCAUUGGGCGUAAAGCGCGUGUAGGCGGCCAGGUAAGUCCGUUCUGAAAGCCCGGGGCUCAACCCCGGGAGGCGGAUGGAUACUGCUUGGCUCGAGUCCGGAAGAGGUGAGUGGAAUUCCCGGUGUAGCGGUGAAAUGCGCAGAUAUCGGGAGGAACACCAAUGGCGAAGGCGGCUCACUGGCCCGAUACUGACGCUGAGGCACGAAAGCGUGGGGAGCAAAGCAGG
rnacentral:rRNA from 1 species